GACGAACGCUGGCGGCGUGCUUAACACAUGCAAGUCGAACGGAAAGGCCCUGCUUUUGUGGGGUGCUCGAGUGGCGAACGGGUGAGUAACACGUGAGUAACCUGCCCUUGACUUUGGGAUAACUUCAGGAAACUGGGGCUAAUACCGGAUAGGAGCUCCUGCUGCAUGGUGGGGGUUGGAAAGUUUCGGCGGUUGGGGAUGGACUCGCGGCUUAUCAGCUUGUUGGUGGGGUAGUGGCUUACCAAGGCUUUGACGGGUAGCCGGCCUGAGAGGGUGACCGGCCACAUUGGGACUGAGAUACGGCCCAGACUCCUACGGGAGGCAGCAGUGGGGAAUAUUCCACAAUGGGUGGAAGCCUGAUGCAGCAACGCCGCGUGCGGGAUGACGGCCUUCGGGUUGUAAACCGCUUUCGCCUGUGACGAAGCGUGAGUGACGGUAAUGGGUAAAGAAGCACCGGCUAACUACGUG
rnacentral:rRNA from 1 species